rnacentral:tRNA from 1 species
GGGGUGCUAGCUCAGUGGUAGAGCGCUCCUUUCGCACUUCAUUAGAAGUAAUAGGAAAUAGGAGAGGUCGGGAGUUCAAUUCUCCCGUACUCCA